AUUGAACGCUAGCGGGAUGCCUUACACAUGCAAGUCGAACGGAGUGGCGAACGGGUGAGUAAUGUAUCGGAACGUGCCCAGUAGCGGGGGAUAACUACGCGAAAGCGUAGCUAAUACCGCAUACUAUUUGAGCGGCCGAUAUCGGAUUAGCUAGUUGGUGGGGUAACGGUGCACCAAGGCGCCGGUCCGUAGCUGGGUUGAUAGGACGAACAGCCACACUGGGCCUGAGACACGGCCCAGAUGCCUACGUGAGGCAGCAGUGGGGAAUUUUGGACAAUGGGGGAAACCCUGAUCCAGCCAUCCCGCGUGUGCGAUGAAGGCCUUCGGGUUGUAAAGCACUUUUGGCAGGAAAGCGGUACCUGCAGAAUAAGCACCGGCUAACUACGUGCCAGCCGCCGCGGUAAUUC
rnacentral:rRNA from 1 species